UUUAUAUGCCAGCUAUGCUGGCACUUAUGGUAGAAGCAUCGUUUUGGGACAAAGAACGAUAACUCUUUCUAGACGACCCAUCUGAAAAGUUUCGUCACUCUCGUUAAAUCUCGUACGAUUUUUUUUUUAAUGGCGGCCAAAUUUAACGUUUCAACGCGAUCUUGUAAAAACGGGGCAGAUCGGAAAAAUUUCAAUGUUUAAUACGACAUGAAUUUCUAUUUG
rnacentral:lncRNA from 1 species